rnacentral:rRNA from 1 species
AUUGAACGCUAGCGGGAUGCUUUACACAUGCAAGUCGAACGAGUGGCGGACGGGUGAGUAAUAUAUCUGAACGUGCCCAGUAGCGGGGGAUCACUACUCGAAAGAGUGGCUACUUCCGCCUUCUCUUGGAUCGGCCGAUAUCGGAUUAGCUAGUUGGUGGGGUAAAGGCUCACCAAGGCCACGAUCCGUAGCUGGUUUGAGAGGACGACCAGCCACACUGGGACUGAGACACGGCCCAGACUCCUACGGGAGGCAGCAGUGGGGAAUUUUGGACAAUGGGGGAAACCCUGAUCCAGCCAUGCCGCGUGUGUGAGAAGGCCUUCGGGUUGUAAAGUACUUUUGGCAGAGAAGCGGUAUCUGCAGAAUAAGCACCGGCUAACUACGUGCCAGCAGCCGCGGUAAUAC